CAUCUGAGCUGCCUUGCUGUCUUAAUGGCGGCACGUAUUACCCAUAAGUCUGUGCGCCAGAACCCAAAUCAGAUUUUAUUUUAAAAAGAUGGCGACCGAAGUUCACAACAAAAGUGUUCAUAAAUGGUCUUCAACAGAGGUAUGUUCGUUCAUCAAGGCCAGAGGGGAGGCAGAGCACCUUUUUACGGGCCACAAAAACAGUGCCAUGGACGGAUGGAAACAGGUGCUCGAUACCAUUGGCCUUGCGGGCGUGGUCAGCCCACUUCAG